rnacentral:rRNA from 1 species
CCUACGGGAGGCUGCAGUGGGGAAUAUUGGACAAUGGGGGGAACCCUGAUCCAGCCAUGCCGCGUGUGUGAAGAAGGCCCUCGGGUUGUAAAGCACUUUCAGUGAGGAAGAACGCCUGGUGGUUAAUACCCAUCAGGAAAGACAUCACUCACAGAAGAAGCACCGGCUAACUCCGUGCCAGCAGCCGCGGUAAUACGGAGGGUGCGAGCGUUAAUCGGAAUUACUGGGCGUAAAGCGCGCGUAGGUGGCUUGAUAAGCCGGUUGUGAAAGCCCCGGGCUCAACCUGGGAACGGCAUCCGGAACUGUCAAGCUAGAGUGCAGGAGAGGAAGGUAGAAUUCCCGGUGUAGCGGUGAAAUGCGUAGAUAUCGGGAGGAAUACCAGUGGCGAAGGCGGCCUUCUGGACUGACACUGACACUGAGGUGCGAAAGCGUGGGUAGCAAACAGGAUUAGAUACCCUGGUAGUC